ACUUUGUUUUGAAAACAUAGAUUGUUUUCUUCUAAAUUUUUUAGAUUCUUUUUAGUUAAUUUCUACUCUUAAUUUUAUCUCCAACUAAUUUACUUCUUCCCCUUGAUUUUGUGUAGUGACGUUGCGAUGCAAAUUGAAAGGAUGGCCAUUUCUUAUAAUUAAGAAACUCUAAUGGAAAGAGAUAACAAAAAAAUUUUAAGGGGGAGGAGUUGAAAGGAAAUGGAAAAUUCUAUGACGUGUUUCAAAUUAAAGGUUAUGACUUGAAAUUUAAUUACUUUACCAUUUUUUUUUUAUCCUUUAGUAUUAUAUUUUUAUUUUUUAUCCUUUAGUAUUAUAUUGUUUUUUUCAUGUUUUAAUUGAUUAUCUUCCUUGGUUGUAAAAAAAAAAAAAAAUUGAUUAUCUCCCUUACUUUGAGUGGAUUUAACAAGUAUAAUAUAGUGAACAUGUCAUAGAUAACCACUUACUAGAGAAACAUGUAAUUGAUCCCUUAAAAAAAACUAUAAACUAAUUGUCACACAUACAGACACUAAAGUGAAAUUGGAAGCCUGUUAAUCAUCAGAAAAUGAGGAUGAGAGAAGAGAGAUGAACAUGCAUGGAUACAAAAGGUAAUGAGCUGGGAAGCCCACACGGUCGUAGCCAGAGGACAACAUGCAUAUGGACCAUGGUGGUGGUGGUAUUUCUAACCCUUUGGUUCUCUCUCUUUGUUGGUUAUUAACAAAAGAUUGCGAGAAAGACAACAAAGAGAUAGAACCAAGAAACCCCACGAUUAUUAACACGUAAGUUCUCUUUGGAUUGAAACACCUGCUAAGAUUAGGAAAUGAGGUAGACAAGGAGAUUAACAUAUGAUAUUUUUGUAACAGGAAAUUGCCACCAAGAAACUUGGUUGUCGCAAUGUAGCGCCAUAGAAGCAAAUUGAUUGUUCGAAUAUUCAUCUUUCACCUAGGAGACGGUGGUUAAUCAAGCAUUGUACCAUAUUAAUGACAAUGACUAUUCAUCUUCACUCAUGACUUCUCUCUAUAUAUUUUCUAUGUUUGAUGAUUGUUUUUUUUUUUUGUUGACAUUUUUAAUUUGGUUUUAUGGGUAUUCAACAAUUCCAUGGUAAUGGAAAUAUCUUUCUUUCUUUUCAAGUUCAGAUCAAGGCGUUCGUGUUGCAUGGAUCAAUGAAUAAUAUUUGGUUCAUAGCAAUGUUUAUUCUCAUUUUAAUAAAUAAAUUACAAAGGUGAUAAACCCUUUUAUAUAUGUAAGAGCUUAUUGUGCAUCAUAUUUAAUUAAUAAAAAAGGAAGUAACAAUGUAAUUUGGUGUGUCAAAUAAUUCAUAUAUUUUUUUGCAUAUGUUUGGUUUUUACUUAUUUCCGUUCUAGAUCAAUUCUUUGGUGCUCUUAGGUAUCUAUUGUUUGUUUCUUUAAUCAAGCUAUUGAUUUAGGAUUGUUAUAACUUUGACACUUGAUUUAAAAAUAUAUAUUCUGCUUUUUUUUUUUUUUCCUCUUCUACUUUUCAGUUGCCUUUGAGGAAAACUUACAUAUAGUGAAUUUUCAUUGGUAUUGUUGGGAGACUUUAUUUUUGUGUGUAAGAAUCUUUCAAAAAAU
rnacentral:lncRNA from 1 species